GACGAACGCUGGCGGCGUGCUUAACACAUGCAAGUCGAACGGAAAGGCCCUGCUUUUGUGGGGUGCUCGAGUGGCGAACGGGUGAGUAACACGUGAGUAACCUGCCCUUGACUUUGGGAUAACUUCAGGAAACUGGGGCUAAUACCGGAUAGGAGCUCCUGCUGCAUGGUGGGGGUUGGAAAGUUUCGGCGGUUGGGGAUGGACUCGCGGCUUAUCAGCUUGUUGGUGGGGUAGUGGCUUACCAAGGCUUUGACGGGUAGCCGGCCUGAGAGGGUGACCGGCCACAUUGGGACUGAGAUACGGCCCAGACUCCUACGGGAGGCAGCAGUGGGGAAUAGUGCACAAUGGGCGGAAGCAGGAUGCAGCAACGCCGCGUGCGAGAUGACGGCCUUCGGGUUGUAAACCGCUUGCGCCUGUGACGAAGCGUGAGUGACGGUAAUGGGUAAAGAAGCACCGGCUAACUACGUG
rnacentral:rRNA from 1 species